AAUUUUCGACAAUGGGGGCAACCCUGAUCCAGCCAUCCCGCGUGUGCGAUGAAGGAAUUAGAGAUGUAUCGCACUCUUGGCAGGGAAGAAAAGGCUCUGGCUAAUACCUGGAGCUGCUGACGGUACAUGCAGAAUACGCACCGGCUAACUACGUGCCAGCAGCCGCGGUAAUACGUAGGGUGGAAGCGUUAAUCGGAAUUACUGGGCGUAAAUCGUGCGCAGGCGGUUCGGCAAGAAGGAUGUGAAAACCCAGGGCUUAACCUUGGAACUGCAUUCUUAACUGCCGGGCUAGAGUAUGUCAGAGGGGGGUAGAAUUCCGCGUGUAGCAGUGAAAUGCGUAGAGAUGCGGAGGAAUACCGAUGGCGAAGGCAGCCCCCUGGGAUAAUACUGACGCUCAUGCACGAAAGCGUGGGGAGCAAAC
rnacentral:rRNA from 1 species